rnacentral:rRNA from 1 species
UGAAUGACUCUCGGCAACGGAUAUCUCGGCUCUUGCAUCGAUGAAGAACGUAGCGAAAUGCGAUACUUGGUGUGAAUUGCAGAAUCCCGUGAACCAUCGAGUCUUUGAACGCAAGUUGCGCCCGAGGCUACUAGGUUGAGGGCACGUCUGCCUGGGCGUCACAC